rnacentral:rRNA from 1 species
GACGAACGCUGGCGGCGUGCCUAAUACAUGCAAGUUGAGCGCUGAAGGUUGGUACUUGUACCAACUGGAUGAGCAGCGAACGGGUGAGUAACGCGUGGGGAAUCUGCCUUUGAGCGGGGGACAACAUUUGGAAACGAAUGCUAAUACCGCAUAAAAACUUUAAACACAAGUUUUAAGUUUGAAAGAUGCAAUUGCAUCACUCAAAGAUGAUCCCGCGUUGUAUUAGCUAGUUGGUGAGGUAAAGGCUCACCAAGGCGAUGAUACAUAGCCGACCUGAGAGGGUGAUCGGCCACAUUGGGACUGAGACACGGCCCAAACUCCUACGGGAGGCAGCAGUAGGGCAUCUUCGGCAAUGGACGAAAGUCUGACCGAGCAACGCCGCGUGAGUGAAGAAGGUUUUCGGAUCGUAAAACUCGGUUGGUAGAGAAGAACGUUGGUGAGAGUGGAAAGCUCAUCAAGUGACGGUAACUACCCAGAAAGGGACGGCUAACUACGUG